UACGUAGGGUCCAAGCGUUAUCCGGAAUCACUGGGCGUAAAGCGUGCGUAGGUGGUCUGUUAAGUGAGAUAUUAAAGCGUGUGGCUCAACCAUAUCGUUGUGUCUCAUACUGGCAGACUAGAGGACGGCAGAGGCAAGUGGAACUCGUAGUGUAGCAGUGAAAUGCGUAGAUAUCGGGAGGAACACCUGUGGCGAAAAGCGGCUCACUGGACCACAACUGACGCUGAGGCGCGAAAGCUAGGGGGAGCAAACAGGG
rnacentral:rRNA from 1 species